rnacentral:tRNA from 1 species
GAGGAUGUGGCUCAGUUGGUAGAGCACUUGCCUAGCAUGCAAGAAGCCCUGGGUUCAGUUCUAAAUACCACA